UACGGAAGGUCCAGGCGUUAUCCGGAUUUAUUGGGUUUAAAGGGAGCGCAGGCGGCCUUUUAAGCGUGACGUGAAAUGCAGUCGCCCAACGUCUGACGUGCGUCGCGAACUGGUAGGCUUGAGUGCACCGGAGGUAUGCGGAAUUCGUGGUGUAGCGGUGAAAUGCUUAGAUAUCACGAAGAACCCCGAUUGCGAAGGCAGCAUGCCGUAGUGUUACUGACGCUCAUGCUCGAAAGCGCGGGUAUCGAAC
rnacentral:rRNA from 1 species